rnacentral:rRNA from 1 species
UGCGAACUCCUACGGUAGGCAGCAGUGGGGAAUAUUGGACAAUGGGCGAAAGCCUGAUCCAGCCAUGUCGCGUGUGUGAAGAAGGUCUUCGGAUCGUAAAGCACUUUAAGUCGGGAGGAAGGGCAUUAACCUAAUACGUUAGUGUCUUGACGUUACCGAAAGAAUAAGCACCGGCUAACUCUGUGCCAGCAGCCGCGGUAAUACAGAGGGUGCAAGCGUUAAUCGGAAUUACUGGGCGUAAAGCGCGCGUAGGUGGUUUGUUAAGUUGAAUGUGAAAUCCCCGGGCUCAACCUGGGAACUGCAUCCAAAACUGGCAAGCUAGAGUAUGGUAGAGGGUAGUGGAAUUUCCUGUGUAGCGGUGAAAUGCGUAGAUAUAGGAAGGAACACCAGUGGCGAAGGCGACUACCUGGACUGAUACUGACACUGAGGUGCGAAAGCGUGGGGAGCAAACAGGAUUAGAAACCCCGGUAGUCCAGAUG